rnacentral:lncRNA from 1 species
UCGUUAAUGGGUCAAUUAGGAAAACUAAGAAUAUUAGUGGAUAAGUACUAGCUAGUACCUAAACCUCAAUAAUUUAUAGUCCCUAGUUGAAAACACUUUUUUUUUUUUUGAAAUUCUAGCCGACUCGUGUGUUGUUACUGUUGAAGGUUGAUGAGAGAAGAACAUACUAGUGAUUAGGAAAUAUUAUAUUGACUCUCAUGAAGAUUACAAUAAUAGUUACAUAUGUUUAUAUAGGGAGGAGAUGCUAAACCUAAAUGAUAUAGUUUCCUAAUAUACAUAAAUACAUAAAUGAGAUAAUUAUGAGAAAUAUAUUCAAAGAUAUUCUAACUUAUUCUACACACUUCUAUAGUUACUUGUUAGUUCAUCAAUUCUCAAAAAUAUGGAGUAGUAUACUUUUAGAAUUUGUUUGGUUUGCC